ensembl:lncRNA PMS2P4 PMS1 homolog 2, mismatch repair system component pseudogene 4
GUGGAGGGAACUUUCCCAGGCCCCGAGGCGGAUCGGGUAUUGAGUCCAUGGAGCGAGCUGAGAGCUAGAGUACAGAACCUGCUAAGGCCAUCAAACCUAUCGAUCGGAAGUCAGUCCAUCAGAUUUGCUCUGGGCCGGUGGUACUGAGUCUAAGCACUGCGGUGAAGGAGUUAGUAGAAAACAGUCUGGAUGCUGGUGCCACCAAUAUUGAUCUAAAGCUUAAGGACUAUGGAGUGGAUCUCAUUGAAGUUUCAGACAAUGGAUGUGGGGUAGAAGAAGAAAACUUUGAAGGCUUAACGAUGUCACCAUUUCUACCUGCCACGCAUCGGCGAAGGUUGGGACUCGACUGGUGUUUGAUCACGAUGGGAAAAUCAUCCAGAAAACCCCCUACCCCCACCCCAGAGGGACCACAGUCAGCGUGAAGCAGUUAUUUUCUACACUACCUGUGCACCAUAAGGAAUUUCAAAGGAAUAUUAAGAAGACGUGCCUGUUUCCCCUUCGCCUUCUGCCGUGAUUGUCAGUUUCCUGAGGCCUCCCCAGCCAUGCUUCCUGUACAGCCUGCAGAACUACUGUGAUGCCUGGAGCUGCAGCAGUGAUCUUGAGAUGAUGAGGCAAUAGCUGUGGUGGUCAUCUUGAGACCGUGAGGCAACAGCUGUGGCAGCCAUCUUGAGACCAUGAGGCAACAGCCUGGAGACAAAAGCCAACAUGUUCAAAAUGAUGCAGUAGAAAUGUUGGAAGUGGGUCUUUGAUUAUUCAUCCUUAGAUUCAAGGCCCCUCCAGACAUGUCCAUCUGCCUGCUGUGUUGACUUUUCCCUUUGGAGUCUUGAGGCAGCUACAAGCUUACUGACCAGAAAUGAACUCAAGCUCUCCCCGAAGCCUGGUCCUCUUCCAGGAUCAGCCAGCCUGGAAGAUGGCACUGUCAUCCACCCUGUUCUCAGGCCUGCCACCCAGGAGUCAACCUUAGCCCCAUCUAAUUGUCAGAGGCAUCUGAACCACAGCAACUCCAUCUUGAGUAGGGGAUGGGUAAAAUGAGGCUGAGACCUGCUGGGCUGCAUUCCCAGACAGCCAAGGCAUUAGCCACAGGAUAAGAUAGGCGGUCGGUACAAGACACAGGUCAUAAAGACCUUGCUGAUAAAACAGUUGGCAGUAAAGAAGCCAGCCAAAACCCACUAAAACCAAGAUGGCAACGAGAGUGACCUCUGGUCGUCCUCACUGCUACCCUCCCACCAGCACCAUGACAGUUUACAAAUGCCAUGGCAAUGUCAGAAAGUUACCCUAUAGGGUCUAAAAAGGGGAGGCAUGAAUAAUCUACCCCUUGUUUAGCAUAUCAUCAAGAAAUAACCAUAAAAAUAGGCAACCAGCAGCCCUCAGGGAUGCUCUGUCUAUGGAGUAGCCAUUCUUUUGUUCCUUUACUCUCUUAAUAAACUUGUUUUCACU